UUUAUGGAGAGUUUGAUCCUGGCUCAGGAUGAACGCUGGCGGCGUGCCUAAUACAUGCAAGUCGAGCGAACGGAUGAGAAGCUUGCUUCUCUGAUGUUAGCGGCGGACGGGUGAGUAACACGUGGAUAACCUACCUAUAAGACUGGGAUAACUUCGGGAAACCGGAGCUAAUACCGGAUAAUAUUU
rnacentral:rRNA from 1 species